rnacentral:tRNA from 1 species
AGGGGUAUAGCUCAGUGGUAGAGCACUGCCCAGUAUACCCAGGGCCUGGGUUCCAUCCCCAGCACCACUG